rnacentral:snRNA from 1 species
GGACGUGAGGGCGAUCUGGAUGUGACAUCUGUCACCCCAUUGAUCACCAGGGUUGAUUUGGCUGAUCUGGCUGGCUGGGCGGAUAUCCACUUCCUCCCUCAAAGAUCCACGUGUGUCCCUCCCGAAGCUGUGUGCUCGGUUGAAGAGGACGACCACCCCUGAUAGAGGAGGACUGUUCCUCAGUAUACGAGUAGCUGCGCUCCCCUGCUAGCACCUCUAAACAAGCUCUCAAGAAAACAAACCCAGCUAGCUCCAAGUUGUGCAUGGAGCACAGAGAGGACAUU